UACCGGCGAUGUGUAUCGGUUCAAUACAUGUCGAUGACCUCCCACGCUAACCGAUACAACUACACGAACAAAAAGGAUAUACGUCUCUUGAGUAGCCGUGUAGUCUUCUCCUACAACAAUAGACGUUAUCGUUGCCACUCGUGUCUUGGGUGUAGUUUGUAGUAUGAGUGGGACGAAUACAAAAUACGAUUGUUAACCAUGCGCACGAAGUGAUAUACAACCACGGCACGCCAGCGUUGUUCCUCGGAGCGUGGACUCGGAGAGGAAGGCGGAAAGCGGGUUCUCCUGGAUCUUAGAAACCGUUCUUUGGUUUUAGUCUAGUGGUAGAGGUGAUGUAGUAAACACCUAGUCAGAAGACGCUGUGGGCCCUGUACGAGAUGUAGCUCCUCAUGCUACCGUUCGGCCGCUACCGUACUGCUCGUCUGCGAGCUCGUCCACUCGCAGGUGAGUCACCCCCACCACCUCCCGCCAUUGUCAUUAUUCUCAACAGUACGAUAGUCCAAUCAUAAUUUAGUCCCCUCCAUGUAGUUGUUGUUCAAGUCGUUGGUCAUGUUCCGCUACUUGCCUCAUAUGUUAUUCCAAUGACAAGAAUGUCUAUCCUAGUCCGACAAUCCUAGUUAUAACUACUUCACGUCGUUGUUUUGUACAAAUUCUAAGUAGAGACGACGAAAGGCAAAAUGAGAAGAAAGCUUACUUCUCUUACUCGUCGGUCUCACGUAGUAGGCGCCUUGUGGACCACCGUAGGCCAUGAAACCACUCGAACUUCUGGUGACAAUGACCCCAUUAUUCAUGAUGCACACGUGUUAGUUGUUUUGUAGACGGUUCGGUCCGGUCGCGUACAUAAAAGUCCAUGUUAUAUGACUUCUCUUGGACAACCUGAUGUAACUAGGUGUGUUACUAUGUGAGUACCAGUCUGAACUUAUAGUGUAAUACGAUCCUUGACUGUUUUCCCGGUGAUAUUGGUGGUUGACCAGGCUCAAAGCAGCGGCACGCUUGUAAGCACUUCCUCUGUAGAUGCGAAAAGCAAAGCUCCAGUGAAGUUUGGCGGCCGACCAAGAGUGACACGUGGGGGAGAUC
rnacentral:rRNA from 1 species